AUUGGGAUGUUGUUUGGAGGAGGUGAUUGGUGGUUUUUUUGGUUUGUGAUGAUGAUGAUGAUGAUCGGUUGAGAGAAGGGCGCAGAAUAACAGUUGUGUUAUAGGGUUGAUGUUUUUUCCUUGCAAUUCUGCUUCUUUCUCAACUUUGGUUCUAAGUUCUCUCAAUUUUUUCUCUCUGCAGAAUUNNNNNNNNNNNNNNNNNNNNNNNNCAGCCCCCUUUCAUUCUCAUUUUUUGGCUUUGAUCUAUAUCAAGGAAAUAAGGGUUUAAUUGUAUAAUAUGAUGUCUUAAUGCUGUCAUUUAAUAUCUUAAUUUUGCAUCAUUUAAUUUUAGAGACGAGGAAAAUGACCUGAUUGUAUAAUAGGAGGUCUUAAUGGUGUCAUUUUUUGGCUUUAAUUCAUAUGUGACUCAUUUAUAUUAUGACUCAUGUUUUGCUGGUUUUUUCUUAUUCGACUCAUGCUAGCCAAAAAAAAUUGCGUUAAAAUUGUGCCCAGGCUCCAAUAUAAUCCUGGCUCCGCCACUGGAGUGAGAUAUACCCUUGUAUUGUUGUGUUAGUAGUUAGUUAUAUUGGUGUUUUUCAGUUUGUUUAUGUGGAAUCGGAGUGUGAUAUGUAGUUUCAUAUUGUUGAUUGUAUAUUUCGUGCCGAUUUAUUUUUCAUCAGUCUUUACUCUUUAUCGAUUUUUAUUUGUGAAAUCAGAGUGAUAUAUGUAUUCUCGUACUUUUCAAUAUAAUUUUCUCGCAGAUUUAU
rnacentral:lncRNA from 1 species